UACGUAGGCAGCAAGCGUUGUUCGGAGUUACUGGGCGUAAAGGGUGCGUAGGCGGCUUUUUAAGUUUGGUGUGAAAUCUCCCGGCUCAACUGGGAGGGUGCGCCGAAUACUGAGAGGCUAGAGUGUGGGAGAGGAAAGUGGAAUUCCUGGUGUAGCGGUGAAAUGCGUAGAUAUCAGGAGGAACACCGGUGGUGUAAACGGCUUUCUGGACCAUAACUGACGCUGAGACGCGAAAGCGUGGGGAGCGAACAGG
rnacentral:rRNA from 1 species